CGCGGUUUUCCCUUCCAGUUCGAAGUCCGUCUCUUUCCCCUUUCCGUGUGAAGUCAAAUCUUUCUCCACUUCCAUUUUCUAUUCUGAAAUCUGAAGAAGGGACCUAUGUCCCGCUUCCCAUGUCUGUAAAAAAAAAACCCUAGAUUCUUGAAUUAGACGCUCUGAAGUGUUUGCACUCCAAGACGAUGUCGCUUGCUUUCCAAUCCCUUUCACUCACUUCACCUUCUCCUUCCCCUCCCCCUUCAACCUUGUGCUUUUCCACAUUCUUUUCCAGGAAUCCCUGCUUGUCUCUUCGAUUCGCUCCUAGCCGUUUCCCAAACACCCUGCAUUUCCAAAUUCUCGAACACAAGUUUCGAAGCCCCUUUAAUUUUGGUUCCAUCAAUGCUCAUCAGUUCUGUCCUCGAGUUUCUACAUCUGGAGGAGUAGGCCGGAAACACGGUGGUGAUGGUGAUUUCGAUAUCGAUUCCUUACUUUCAGCUGCCGAGUUGUUUUGCCUCGUUACGUCAUUGAUUGGUUCUGUUGGUUUUGCUCUGAAUUGGGCGAAAGCCAGGUCUAAGAGCGUGUUCUUGGCGGUGUUCGGUGACGGGAUUUUCGUUGGCGCAAUUUUGUUUCUGGUAGCUGGGGUUGCAAUUGGUGCUUGGAUUCGUAGGCGGCAGUGGAAUCGAAUUUUUCGAGAGACAGCGAAGGGUGUGUUAGGGGUGAAUUUGAUGGAAAAGACUAACAGGCUGGAGGAGGAUUUGAGGAGCUCGGCAACGCUUAUCCGAGUCUUGUCGAGGCAGCUGGAGAAGCUAGGGAUUAGGUUUAGAGUUACUCGAAAGGCUCUGAAGAAGCCCGUCGAGGAGACUGCAGCUUUAGCUCAAAAAACUUCUGAGGCCACUCGAGCAUUAGCAGUUCGGGGAGAUAUUUUGGAGAAGGAGCUUGCUGAAAUCCAGAAGGUCUUAUUGGCUAUGCAGGCCUACAGUAAAUGCAGAGUUGCAGCCUGAGCGUGCACUAUUCAUCCUGGAUAACUGGGGGUCUUUAACUUCGAUCGGUUUGCUUUGUAUGCAGUUUUUCAUUCAACUUUAUCCUCUCUAUUUUUUUCUGAAUAAGAACUAGUCAACAGGUUCAGUCGUAGCUGAGCUUCUGUGGAGUAGUUUCGGGAGCUUUUACACGGGCAACGAGGACAUUAAUUCAAAUAGAGAGACGUCAAGCUGGGAACCUGCAACUUACUUUUUUCAUGUCAUGGAAGCUACAUGUAACACUUGCCCUAUCAAAACCAUACAAUUUGGUGGCUACGGAAGGUAAGCAAGCUGGUGUUCAGACAGAGGAAUGAAACAGCCAAGUUCGUCAGGUGCAGUUUAUUGCUCUCUCUUUGCGUCUAAAGAAUUUAAAAGCAGUGAAACACGAUCAAAGAAAAAGAAGAUCAUUGAAGUCGUAAUAUUGCGAGAAAUAGAGUAGGGUUUGGACUUUGGAGGGUUUUGAUUUGUUCACAAGGAUGCAGUCUUUAUAAUGGUCUGAUCAAUAGUCUGUAAAGUACAUUGUGAUUUUUACCGAGACUUAACAACUCCAUGGCACUGGAACCAAGCAGUCUCAGGUACACUUUUCUCAUACAUGUUUUUGUAUUUUCGUUGAUUUAUGGGAAAAAGAGACUGGUUAGGCUAAGAGAGUUCAGAUGCAGAGAAAGUUUCCUUUUUUCUGCUCAGUGCUGACUGAUUCACUGUUGAAUUCCAAAUGAACUCAGAAAACAGUUAUCAUAUUUAUGUUGAUGAGAGGUUCAUACGUUCAAGCUGAAAGGUAACAAUAAAUGUAAGGAAAAAAUUGAAAAUAAAAUUCGCAAAACAAAAAAGGAGAACAAACAAAGAAAAUUUAAUUGUACAUAUGUAGAAAAUACAAUUCCCUUCCCCCCCCCGUGUGAAUAAAUAAAUAAAUCUUUAUUCCUUCUCCGUGUGAAUAAGGCUUUCAACUUUCGUGAAAGAGUCUUCUGAAGUUGGCCAUCAGAUCAGACUAGGGGUUCUUGAGGUUGAGUUUGCUCACUGCCGUCUCAGGCUCUUUUUCUUGGAGUUGGUAAUGUUUCGGAAUGAUCUGAUGCAUGGUUGAUAAUUUAGUUGACUAAUUGCCUUUUAAAAAUAAAUCAACAGAUCUGGAGAGACAGUCGAGGAGUGUGGCAGAGUAUUUGCAACAUUUUUUUCGCCUUUAACGAGCAAACACUACAUAUUCUUUGUAUUUAGGGCGACUUGAUCUUCUAACUUGACACUUUUUUAUUCAUUUGGAUCAACCAUGGUCGCUUGAGUUCUGUAGAAUUUUCAAUAUUUGAUUAUUUUUUCCAGUUGAAUGUUGGUAGAUUUCAAUAGAGGCUUCCCCCCUCUUCAUUUGGUAGUUGGUUCAAAGUUUUGAAUCAAACCUAGCUAAUCCACUUGCAUUCUUAAUUUAGAUUUGCCAACUUGAGUAUAUUUAAAUUAGUUUAGUCAUAUAUGAUCAAGUUAUCGAUCAUAAAGUUAGAAGAUUAAAUCCUCGUCCUUACUUAUUAUUUUGAACAACCCCUCCCCCAAAAAAUAGUGUCCUACUUUCCCAGUCAUAAGUAAUUGUUAUAUACAUAGGAUCACGAGAGAUUUGAAUUAUAAAUUGGAAGAAAAGCUAGCUUUGUAAAUACUUGAAGUUAUAGGCCAGAGAUAAAUAAAUCUCGUUUAUGAGCAACUUUGGCGCAAUGAAACAUUUAAGGAAAGAGCAAUUGAAAAUAUGCUAGUUUGGAUUUUAUUGAUUUAUCUUGUGCUCAUUAUUCUUAGACAUUGGCGUACCUUGGUAAAUGAAGAUAAUGGUUUUAUUAACAAGAAUAACCAAAAAAUUUGGUCCACAGUCAAAAGGAAUACGGAGAGAGAGAGGCAAGGCAAUAGAAAAGAAAAGAAAUCUCAAUGGGUCCAAUCCAUUCCAUCAGCCACUAUUGGUUGCUUGGGAGAUGAGAUGAGAUGAGAUGAUGUAGUCGCUGCAUGCCCAUCAGCGCAGCGUUGAAAUGUAAAAUCAAUGGCAGUGAAGAUUGGAGAAGAGUGAAACAAAUGCAAAGGGGAGAGUGGGUGAGUAAAUGCGGUCCCUUUACAGCAGCCAGGCUAGUGAUGGACAGUCUAAGGCUGUAGAAUGGAAGAAUAGGUCGUCCUUUGUAUGUGAUGUGGAUACUCCAAAUUUGUUUUCCCCCAUUGUAUUGUUCCUUUCACUGUUCUGCUGCAAUCUGCCCUCUUACUCAGAACUUCUCUGCUCUCUCCUCUCUCGUUCCUGUCGGAUAACUUAUGACUCACCCACCCUUUCCUACACCAAUUUAUGCUAUCUCUCUCUCGUCUCUCUCUUUCUGUUUCCCCUUGCACUUGCCUCUAUUAAAUGCUCAUCUCUUCUCUCUCUCUCUCUCUCUUCCUCUCCCCUAGCCACUUUGUGGUUGUGGUGCAGUGGGUGGAAGUGGAACAAAGUAACAGAAAAAUCUGGCAAAUGGGUCUUUAUUGCGUAUGAUUUUUACUCCUUUGCUUCGUUGGAUCCAUUAGUUCCGGGCAUCAAUGACUUGAUGACUACCAUGAAUUUGCCUACUGUUUGGGCCACCUCAUUACUUAUUCUGCUUCUGCAUCUUCUUCUUCUUCUCUCCGCCUCUUCUCCUCCCAGAGGUAUAUUUUUUGAAGACAAAACCAGGCUUGGAUCCACCCCACCAAGCUGCCAUAACAAAUGCAACGAGUGCCACCCAUGCAUGGCCGUUCAAGUGCCUAGCAAUGCCCGGCCGCGCCAGCCGGUUGGAUUCUCACUCGGCCUUGCCUAUGAGAUUUUUUGACUCGUCUUCUCAAGGGAACAGAUACUCAUUUUACAAGCCAUUGGGUUGGAAAUGCCGCUGUGGAAACCACUUCUUCAAUCCUUAGACCAAAUUUGCAUGUCCAGUCUAGAGGGUUGGUCUUCCUUCCAUUCUUCUGGUUUUGUAAAUGACAUUUUAUUGUUUCUUUUAUUAUAAAGUUGGAAUUCUUUGUUCAGAGAUAAGUAGUUUGUUCGGUUUUUGCAUUUAUUGUACAUAUACUCCAACCCUAUACUAUCUA